UAACGAUUUUUCCAGAAAUCUUGCUUCAGUCCAUAUGUCUUUAUAGUAUAUUGGAUCUAGUUGGUGUAUCGGAUAGGUCAUUUUCCCGAUUCUGGCUUGUAGUUUUAUCUAUAACUGUGUAAAACCGAGAAAAAACGUAGGAAAAACAAGAAAGUCUUACACGAGGUCCAUUACAAGUUGUACUGAUAGUGGCAAAAAACAAAUUGAGCGUAAUAUACUAAUAUAGUAGUUU